GCUACGGUGACCUUUUUCCUGAUGAUAUCUCCCAAGGCAUCUGCCGGCAGCAGGAGAAGCAAGUGAUCCUGUAUCCGAUCAUCACAGAUUUCUCUGUGCGCAUCACAGCAGCUCCAGCUCUAAUUUACCGGAAACCUCUGUAAGCGGAUCACGGCCCAGUCAAGGAAUUGAUGGUGUGCAGCAACAGUCUGGAGAUGAACGUGAUGUCCAGCCUGGAGCUAUUGCUGAGCACAGACCAGGUGCAGUUACUGCAGCAGCUCCUGCAGACCAACGUGAUGCUAACGAGCACAGAUGACACUGCAGCGAACAUACGGCAACAUACACACACACACACACACACACUCAGAUGACUAACGUUUUCUUGAUGUGGAGACACGCAUGGAAUAUUCUUCAUCAUGUGAUCUUGCU